UAACCGCAUCAAGAGAGGGGCUGACGCCCUCGCCAACCUGCCGAAUCCGGGCAAGGUGGUUUCCCGCAAGGGAGAUGCGGCCAAUUCGGCAACGAAACGGGUCGCG
rnacentral:ncRNA from 1 species